CCUACGGGAGGCAGCAGUGAGGAAUAUUGGUCAAUGGGCGCGAGCCUGAACCAGCCAAGUAGCGUGAAGGAUGACUGCCCUACGGGUUGUAAACUUCUUUUAUAAAGGAGUAAAGUGAGGCACGUGUGCCUUUUUGUAUUGACUUUAUGAGAAAGGGACGUCUAACUCCGCGCCAGCAGACGCGGUAAUACGGAGGAUACGAGCGUUAUCCGGAUUUAUAGGGUUUAAAGGGAGCGUAGAUGGGUUGUUAAGUCAGUUGUGAAAGUUUGCGGCUCAACCGUAAAAUUGCAAUUGAUACUGGCAGUCUUGAGUACAGUUGAGGUAGGCGGAAUUCGUGGUGUAGCGGUGAAAUGCUUAGAUAUCACGAAGAACUCCGAUUGCGAAGGCAGCUUACUAA
rnacentral:rRNA from 1 species